ACCGGCCAGGGUCUGAGCCACAGUGGAGGGGGCGGACGCUUGGAGGACUCGAAGGGCAGGGUGGGCAUCCUUUCAUUUCCCUCCCAGAUGGAAACCUGGAACCCAGACCCUCAGCAUAGGCUGUGACCCUGAGCGAUGUGGUCCCAACCAUGUUCUGCUGGUGGCUUGGUCAGGUCGGGCUCUCAGGAGAUACUGCAGACGAGAUGGCUUGUGGGUGCCCAGCACGGCCCAGCCUGUCUGUGGGGAGGACGGAAAGCCAGCCUUGGAGCCUGAGGAUCUCAGAGCAUUGCCCACACAGCCGAAACUGGAACAGUGUAUCUUGCACAAGGCCAACAGGGAGAAUAAAAUUCCCAUCGGAGAGGUGGCCUCCCGGUACCAGGAGGAAGGGGGACUUUCUUAUCACCAGGGGCAGGGAACUGGGGGUCAAGAAAUCUGAACAAGCACACAGCUUGCAGGAUCUCAGUUUCCUGAUGAGAGAUGGAACCCAGGUCACCGCAGUGAAAGCACUAAGUCCUAACCACUGGACCCCCAGGGAAUUCCCUCAAGGGUCUUAAUUACACCUGCAAAGAUCCCAUUCACAGGUUCUGGGUAGAGAUCUCUUUGGGGGAAGGGGCUCCAUUCAGCCCCCUCCACUCUCCCCAUCUCUGGGAGGGAGGACUGACCAGAGCAGACAAGACUCCAGAGGCUCCAUGAGCAAAUCACACACACAAAGGGAGGGACUCUGCAGUGAGAAGUUUACUUUCUGGUGGCUCCUCUGAAGCCUGGCUUCCUUCUACAGCCUCGCUGUCUGACGAGGGAGUAGCCAACCCCACUUGGCUGCUAAAACUUGAAAUGUGGCCAGUCCCAAUGGAGCCGUGCUGCAGUGCCCAACACACGCCAGAAUCCAAAGGCUUUACAUGAAAAAAGGAAUAAAUAUAAAAUAUCUCAUUUCUAACUUCUUCUAUCAAUUACAUGUUCUAAUAGUAACAUUUUAGGGGGCUUCCCUGGUGGUUUAGUGGUUAAGAACCCGUCUACCAAUGCAGGGGACAUGGGUUCGAUUCCUGGUCCGGGAAGAUUCCACAUGCUGUGGAAGCAACUAAGCCUGAGGGCCACAACACCGAGCCCUCGCGCUGCAACUAGAGAAGCCACCACAAUGAGUAGCUCCUGCUCGCCACAACUAGAGAGAGCCUGUGCAUAGCAACAAAAUCCUAGAGCAGUCAAAAUAAAUAAGUGAAAUAAAUCUUUCUAAUAAAUAAGCAAAUAAAAUAACAUUUUGGAUAGACUGGGUUAAAAUAUACACUAUUCAUAAUAAGUUCAUUCAUUUUAUUGUUUUAAAUUGCAGUAAAAUUCACGUAUCACAAAAUCAACCAUUUUAAACGAAACAACUCACUGGCAUUUAGUACAUUCAUGGUGUUGUGCGACCAUCACCACUACCUGGUUCUGGCACAUUUCUAUCACCCCGUACCCUGAUGAAUAGAUGAAACCUUCUUUAAGUUGGAUUCAGAAAGGCAAGAAGGGGGAGCUCUCGCACCCUCUCAUACGUUGCUGUCUGCAGACUCCAAACAGGAAGAGAUGUACCUUGCAACUCCAACAGGAAGAAAGUUAUUACUUUACUACCCCAGGAGGAAGAAGGAAGAUUUUCUCCUCGCCCGGCAACUGCCCAGCCAAUAAGAGGCUGUAAUAACUCAGCCAAUGAAAAGGCACUACACUUAGAACUCCCAGCUUCCUCCAAUGAGCUCUUUGUUUAUAAUAGCCCCUCCCAACUCUCCUUUCUCUUCUAUAAAUGAAGAAUGGUCCUGUCUUUGUGUCUCUGGACUUGGUUAUAGUUUUGGUUAUAGGUUACAAGCUGUAACAUGCUUGUCCUGAAUUGCAAUUCUCUGCUAUUCCUCAAUAAACCCAUUUGCUGGUUAAAAACAAAA